rnacentral:rRNA from 1 species
GACGAACGCUGGCGGCGUGCCUAAUACAUGCAAGUUGAGCGAUGAAGAUUGGUGCUUGCACCAAUUUGAAGAGCAGCGAACGGGUGAGUAACGCGUGGGGAAUCUGCCUUUGAGCGGGGGACAACAUCUGGAAACGAAUGCUAAUACCGCAUAACAACUUUAAACAUAAGUUUUAAGUUUGAAAGAUGCAAUUGCCUCACUCAAAGAUGAUCCCGCGUUGUAUUAGCUAGUUGGUGAGGUAAAGGCUCACCAAGGCGAUGAUACAUAGCCGACCUGAGAGGGUGAUCGGCCACAUUGGGACUGAGACACGGCCCAAACUCCUACGGGAGGCAGCAGUAGGGAAUCUUCGGCAAUGGACGAAAGUCUGACCGAGCAACGCCGCGGGAGUGAAGAAGGUUGUCGGAUCGUAAAACUCGGUUGGUAGAGAAGAACGUUGGUGAGAGUGGAAAGCUCAUCAAGUGACGGUAACUACCCAGAAAGGGACGGCUAACUACGUG